UACGGGGGGGGCAAGCGUUGUUCGGAAUUACUGGGCGUAAAGGGUUUGUAGGUGGCUUGUUAAGUCAGACGUGAAAUCCCUCAGCUUAACUGGGGAACUGCGUCUGAUACUGGCGAGCUUGAGUGCAGGAGAGGAACGCGGAAUUCCAGGUGUAGCGGUGAAAUGCGUAGAUAUCUGGAGGAACACCGGUGGCGAAGGCGGCGUUCUGGACUGAAACUGACACUGAGAAACGAAAGCCAGGGUAGCAAACGGG
rnacentral:rRNA from 1 species